CCAAAGGCUCUUUUCAGGGCCACCUAUCUUCUCUUAAAAGAGUCC
rfam:Dipodomys ordii contig_61514, whole genome shotgun sequence.